rnacentral:rRNA from 1 species
CAAUAGCGUAUAUUUAAGUUGUUGCAGUUAAAAAGCUCGUAGUUGGAUUUCGGGUGGGACGCAGCGGUCUCGCAUUGCGUUUGUACUGCUGCAGCCCUCCUUCUUGCCGGGGGCGGCCUCUCGGACUUCACUGUCUGGGGGUCAGAAUCGGCGAUGUUACUUUGAGUAAAUUAGAGUGUUCAAAGCAAGCUUACGCUCUGAAUAUAAUAGCGUGGGAUAACACGACAGGACUCUGGCCUAUCGUGUUGGUCUAUAGGACCAGAGUAAUGAUUAAGAGGGACAGUCGGGGGCAUUCGUAUUCCGUUGUCAGAGGUGAAAUUCUUGGAUUUACGGAAGACGAACAUCUGCGAAAGCAUUUGCCAAGGAUGUUUUCAUUGA